UGACUCCAUCUUCAUGGUAGCAGCAGAUGGGACCGCAGUUCAGUUGCCAGCAUGCAGCUCUUUGUCUGCACCCAGGAGCUACACACCCUUGAGGUGACUGGCCAGGAGAUGGUUGCCCAGAUCAAGGCUCGUGUAUCCUCACUGGAGGGCAUUGCCCUGGAAAAUCAAGUAGUGCUCCUGGUAGGCAUGCCCCCGGAGGAUGAGGCCACCCUGGGCCAGUGCAGAUUGGAGGUCCUGACCACCCUAGAAGUAGCAGGCUAUAUGCUUGGGAGUAAAGUCCCUGGCCCGUGCUGGGAAAGUGAGAGGUCAGACUCCUAGGGUGGCCAAACAGGAGAAGAAGAAGACAGGCCAGACUAAGCGGCGGAUGCAGUACAACCAGCACUUUGUCAACGUUGUACCGACUUUUGGCAAGAAGAAGGGCCCAAUGCCAACUCUUAAGUCCUAUGUAAUUCAUGCUUUGUCUAAUCAAAAAGCCACUUGGUUCAGUCCAAAAAAAUCAUCACACAUCACAAGAUUUUAG